rnacentral:rRNA from 1 species
AAACCAGCACCUCAAGUGGUCAGGAUGAUUAUUGGGCCUAAAGCAUCCGUAGCCGGCUCUGUAAGUUUUCGGUUAAAUCUGUACGCUCAACGUACAGGCUGCCGGAAAUACUGCAGGGCUAGGGAGUGGGAGAGGUAGACGGUACUCGGGAGGAAGGGGUAAAAUCCUUUGAUCUCUCGAUGACCACCUGUGGCGAAGGCGGUCUACCAGAACACGUCCGACGGUGAGGGAUGAAAGCUGGGGGAGCAAACCGGAUUAGAAACCCGAGUAGUCC